UGACCAGCUGAUCGCCCAGAGGU
rnacentral:miRNA from 1 species